GUCUAUGGCCAUGCUACCCUGAACAAGCCCGAUCCCAUUCAAUCUUCGGAAGCUAAGCAGGGUCAGGCCUGGUUAGUACUUGGAUGGGAGACCACCUAGAAAGACCAGGUGCUGUAGGCC
rnacentral:rRNA from 1 species